CCUACGGGUGGCAGCAGUGAGGAAUAUUGGUCAAUGGACGAGAGUCUGAACCAGCCAAGUAGCGUGAAGGAUGACUGCCCUAUGGGUUGUAAACUUCUUUUAUAAAGGAAUAAAACGAGGCACGUGUGCCUUUUUGCAUAUACUUAUGAAUUAGGAACGGCUAACCUCGGGGCAGCAGCCGCGGUUAUACGGAGGAACCGAGCGUUAUCCGGAUUUAUUGGGUUUAAAGGGAGCGUAGAUGGGUUGUUAAGUCAGUUGUGAAAGUUUGCGGCUCAACCGUAAAAUUGCAAUUGAUACUGGCAGUCUUGAGUACAGUUGAGGUAGGCGGAAUUCGUGGUGUAGCGGUGAAAUGCUUAGAUAUCACGAAGAACUCCGAUUGCGAAGGCAGCUUACUAAACUGCCACUGACAUUGAUGCUCGAAAGUGUGGGUAUCAAACAGGAUUAGAUACCCGAGUAGUC
rnacentral:rRNA from 1 species